rnacentral:rRNA from 1 species
CCUACGGGAGGCAGCAGUGAGGAAUAUUGCGCAAUGGACGAAAGUCUGACGCAGCCAUGCCGCGUGAAGGAUGACUGCCCUAUGGGUUGUAAACUUCUUUUGUAUGGGAAUAAACUUCCGCUCGUGAGCGGAACUGAAGGUACCAUAAGAAUAAGCACCGGCUAACUCCGUGCCAGCAGCCGCGGUAAUACGGAGGGUGCAAGCGUUAUCCGGAUUUAUUGGGUUUAAAGGGUCCGUAGGCGGACCUAUAAGUCAGUGGUGAAAGCCCACCGCUCAACGGUGGAACUGCCAUUGAUACUGUAGGUCUUGAGUAUGUAUGAAGUUGGCGGAAUGUGUGGUGUAGCGGUGAAAUGCUUAGAUAUCACACAGAACACCGAUUGCGAAGGCAGCUGACUAAUACAUAACUGACGCUGAGGGACGAAAGUGUGGGGAUCAAACAGGAUUAGAUACCCUGGUAGUCCACACCGUAAACGAUGAUCACUAGAUUUUGGUAGCGAUAUCAGAGUCCAAGCGAAAGUGUUAAGUGAUCCACCUGGGGAGUACGUCCGCAAGGAUGAAACUCAAAUGAAUUGACGG